rnacentral:rRNA from 1 species
UACGUAGGGGGCAAGCGUUGUCCGGAAUCAUUGGGCGUAAAGAGCGCGUAGGCGGCCCUGUAAGUCCGCUGUGAAAGUCAAGGGCUCAACCCUUGAAUGCCGGUGGAUACUGCAGGGCUAGAGUCCGGAAGAGGCGAGUGGAAUUCCUGGUGUAGCGGUGAAAUGCGCAGAUAUCAGGAGGAACACCGAUGGCGAAGGCAGCUCGCUGGGACGGUACUGACGCUGAGGUGCGAAAGCGUGGGGAGCAAACAGG